AAAAAUUAGAAAAGAAAAAGGAAAACGGAACUCUGCGGCGUGGCCAGAGAACCUUUUUGUGUGCUUCAGUCUUCAGAUUGAAAAUAUUUUGAGGCAUUGAGGAAAGCAAAAGCAUUGGAGAAUUAGCUUGCUUGAUUUCGGUUCUUCGAUUGAGCGAGUGUUCCACAGACUUCGACUCGACCUCAGCUCUAGUCCGUCUCAAAUUCAUCGGAUUUAAGGGUGAGCUAUCCUUCUAGCUCGUAAUGGAUUCUCUUAGUCAUGACAUGAUGUCCUUAGUGUUCGGACACGAACUAUGUCACUUAUUUUAUUUUAGUAUUUGACAUUCUAGACUUAGUAUUUUAGAAUUAUAUGUCCUUGAUAUGAUGACUUUCAAAUUUUGGAGAGCGUUAUGUAGUAAACUCUUGUGGAUUAUUAUUUCUUACUUU